UAGCUUUGCUGUGCUUGUUCCUUGCUAUGGCUACGGUUGUGCAAAUGUGGAAGAAAAUGCCCAAGAUAAGUUUCUGCAAGCCAUUGGAAACUUGAAGGAUUUAUAUGAUACUGAGAAUAAGAAGUAUAUGGAGCACUGGGUCUCAUCUCUGAGAGAUCACUGAAAUCCAGCAGCGCCUAUGGUGCUGAUCAGAACUUGUUUUCUGCUGCCUAUCCUGAUUCUAUUUUGCAGUGGAUCAAACUUGAGCUGUUAUGGUUACUCAUUACAAGCUUAGAUAUGAACUCUGUAGAAAUAUAAAGAUAUAAUCCUACAACAAAACGAAAAAAAAAAGAGUGUGGAAAUAAUGUAUAUUCGUAGAAAGAUGAGUGAGCUUGAAGGGCUUUAAUAUUUGAGGAGAAGAAACAGCAGACGAUAUAGGUAUCUGCUGCUUCCAAUCCACCUGAUGCAUCUCGAAAAG
rnacentral:misc_RNA from 1 species